rnacentral:misc_RNA from 1 species
AAGUCGUAACAAGGUUUCCGUAGGUGAACCUGCGGAAGGAUCAUUAACACGUACCCAACGUUAAAACAACCCCGUGGUGAAAGCAGCAAUUCCUGGUAAUCAUUGUUGACCAGCUUUUGAGUCAGGGACCUCUGCAGAUUGUUAUAUUUUCUAGCUACGGUUGAGCGAUUGCAUCUAGUGACCCAAGUAAUCAGUGUUCUGAAAGUGUCAUUGUGUAAGGUGGCGCAGUCACGCUGUAGCCACAGCCGGCGACCCUGCUCCUUUACGACAACUACAGUCUAACUUCGCCGCGCGUGAAAUUCGCACGGCACCAAAAACCGAAAUUGUUAACAAUGGAUAUCUUGGUUCU